rnacentral:rRNA from 1 species
UACGAAGGGGCUAGGCGUUGCUCGGAAUGACUGGGCGUAAAGGGCGCGUAGGCGGUUUGCACAGUCAGGCGUGAAAUUCCUGGGCUUAACCUGGGGGCUGCGCUUGAUACGUGUGGACUGGAGUGCGGAAGAGGGUCGUGGAAUUCCCAGUGUAGAGGUGAAAUUCGUAGAUAUUGGGAAGAACACCGGUGGCGAAGGCGGCGACCUGGUCCUUUUACUGACGCUGAGGCGCGAAAGCGUGGGGAGCAAACAGG